GUCUAAUGGAAGGGAAGGUGGCUGGGCCAGGGCUCAGGGCUGCGUACUGGAGACCCAGUUCCUUCCAGCUCUGCACAGAGCAGAGGAUCUGGGGCCCAGGUAGACCAGUCUCUUAAUGAAGUUGGUUCUUAAUGAAGAUCUAGAUACAGCAAAUGGUUGUUCCAGAAAAAUCUCAGAAGCACCUGGCCUCUCACGAACACCAGCGCCACAAUAGGAGCCAGCACAUCUCCGACUUCCUGUGCAAGGUGCUGUGUGGAAAGACAGUGGUUUUUUUCGUUAAGAUGCCAAUUUGGGGCUGGUGAGAUGUCUCUGCAGGGAAAGGCGCUUGCCAGGAAGCCUAACAACCCGAGGUCGUGAGCUGGUGGGAGAGAACCAACUCCCACAAGUUACCCUCUGACCUCCACAUUCAGGUAUUUCCUUCUCCCACCCCCCUCCCAGCCACCCCCUCCCCAAUCUCUAACAUAAAUAAGAAGUACAGGUGGGCAGUGGUGGCACACGCCUUUAAUCCCAGCACUUGGGAGGCAGAGGCA
rnacentral:lncRNA from 1 species